rfam:Roseburia sp. CAG:197 genomic scaffold, scf20
CGGCGCGUGGCUCAGCUUGGUAGAGCGCUGCGUUCGGGACGCAGAGGUCGCAGGUUCAAAUCCUGUCGCGCCGA